UACGUAGGGUGCAAGCGUUGUCCGGAAUUAUUGGGCGUAAAGAGCUUGUAGGCGGUUUGUCGCGUCUGCUGUGAAAUUUCGGGGCUCAACCCCGAACUUGCAGUGGGUACGGGCAGACUAGAGUGUGGUAGGGGAGACUGGAAUUCCUGGUGUAGCGGUGAAAUGCGCAGAUAUCAAGAGGAACACCUGAGGUGAAGACGGGUUGCUGGGCUGACACUGACGCUGAGGCGCGAAAGCUAGGGUAGCAAACGGG
rnacentral:rRNA from 1 species